rnacentral:rRNA from 1 species
GCAAAGUUGAUUUUUAUCAUCCAAUUUGAACAAUUGCAGAAAAAAUCAAUCCUCUCCACUUGAAGGUAGGUGAUGCACACAGAUUUCUUCUUACCUUGCAAGCACCGUUGGAUGAAGAGAGUAGGCAUGAUCAUGGACAAACGCAUGCCGUCUUGCCUCGAUCUUGCAGGAGAGGAGGACAUUGUUUAUUUGCGUAGGGCUGUCGGGGGAUAAUUCGAUCGAGUAGGAGUUGUUACGUGGAAGAGGAGCUAGCAGCUGGGCGAUCGUUUGGCUAGGUGACGAGGAAGAAAUUGAUACAGCCGGCCAUUGUAUGGGAGCACGGCCAGAGAUGGAGUUCGAUACGGUCUGCACCCAAAUCAGAAGGUUUGGCCACCCUUAACAAUAUCCUCAUCGGAUAUAACUUGGGGAAGGCGAAGGCGUACCCCCUACUAUAUAAGCUCGGCCACCCACGCCCCAAACAAAUCACAACCAACCUUCCUCAAGUCGUUUGUUCCCCCGAGCAAUCGAGUUGUGUUCCUGGCGAUCGAUCGAUCCAUCUUGCUGAGCAUCAUGGUUUCCGCCGACGUGGCCCAC